AGUGAACGCUGGCGGUAGGCCUAACACAUGCAAGUCGAACGGCAGCACAGUAAGAGCUUGCUCUUACGGGUGGCGAGUGGCGGACGGGUGAGGAAUACAUCGGAAUCUACUUUUUCGUGGGGGAUAACGUAGGGAAACUUACGCUAAUACCGCAUACGACCUACGGGUGAAAGCAGGGGAUCUUCGGACCUUGCGCGAUUGAAUGAGCCGAUGUCGGAUUAGCUAGUUGGCGGGGUAAAGGCCCACCAAGGCGACGAUCCGUAGCUGGUCUGAGGGGAUGAUCAGCCACACUGGAACUGAGACACGGUCCAGACUCCUACGGGAGGCAGCAGUGGGGAAUAUUGGACAGUGGGCGCAAGCCUGAUCCAGCCAUACCGCGUGGGUGAAGAAGGCCUUCGGGUUGUAAAGCCCUUUUGUUGGGAAAGAAAAGCAGCAGGUUAAUACCCCGCUGUUCUGACGGUACCCAAAGAAUAAGCACCGGCUAACUUCGU
rnacentral:rRNA from 1 species